CUCCUUUAAGAUCUUGCUACAAACACAUACACACACCCCUCUAAGGGGUGACUCCAGUUCUCUCCUAGUAGAAGACGCUACUAAAUAACUUUUCCAUCUGAUAAUUCACCGGGUUGCUUUAAGCGUCGCGGGAUCAUGGGGAAAGCCUGCAUGGUCACCCGAGCCCUUUUAAAAUGAAACCAGCCUUGCGAAGCUGCAGCAGCUCUUCUCCCCCCCCCCCCCCCCUCCAGCCCUGCUCCCUCUCCCUCUCUCCCUCUCUCCCUCUUCCCUUUCUCUCUUCCUCUCCGCCUUACCCGGGCUUGGAGCCUCUCUAACAGGCGCAGUGAGAGACGGACAGAUUCCACCAGGAGCGCAGGCUGCGUAACUUCCUCUGUGUGGCUUUAACACACCAUCCCACCACGGAGCAAUGGUCUUCUUAAAGCUGCAGGAAAGAAAUACAGCCAGACUCAGGGGAAGAGCCGCAGCAAAGGAGGGAAUGCUGAGAGCAGGGUGGUCCAGAGCCAGUGAGGUGCCCUGGUCCCCGUGGUGAUGAAGCUGAUGAAGCAAAGCUGCUCUGAAGCCUAGCUGGUUAAGCAUCUCCUUUCUUGGGCCUGGGGGCAAGCUCACCAAUACAAAACGGGUGCAUCCCUAGCCCAGUUUAGUCAUGAAUGUUUGGGGGAUAAGCCACAGUUCGUCAGCUUUUUUUCCCUCCAGGUAGCAGAAGGGGCUCCACUGGGCUGGCAAAAGGCCCAUGGGAGUGGAAGCUGCCCCCAUCUAAACCCAGACUGGGUGCCAGGAAGAGUCUUGAUCUCUGAAGCCAGCUCGGAGGACUGCCCUGUAACAUCCAAGAAGGCUUCUUUCUCUCCUUCAAUGCUACACAUAAGGACCAGAGCAGUGGAGAAAGGGGUGGGUGGGUGGAUUUGGGAAGAUGGGGGGGGGGGAACUGAGCAAAUAACCAGAGACUGAAUAUCAGCUGACACAUCAACGCCUCCACCCUGAUGGGAUCUGUUUUUGAUUAAGCCAAGCCAGAUUUUUUCACGGGAGGAGUAGGGGGAUUGGCAUGGAGCUACAAAAAGGUGUCAUCGCACCUACCCUCACUGGCAGAGAGAUGUGGUCGUUGGAGAACUCCUCCAGGGAUUGGGAGAGAAAACAAGGGGGACCCUCUGAGAAUCUAUCAGUUAAGGCAAAUCAGUUCUUCAAACCCUAAGAGCUUCUCUGAUAUACAGCUUUUCUGUGGGUUGAAAAGGAGUUUACUCUCUCCUCUAGAGGGGACUUCUGGGAGGCUGUCUUGGGUAUUCAUGGCUCCCUUUCCUUUACUGGAUGGGUCUAAGUAUGACUAUCUCAAGGGAAGUUUACAUUAUUACUCAGGUUCAUGAAGAAGAGAGAACCUGGGACAGAGAGACAAUAAAAAUUUUAGUCCAAGGUCAGGAAGGAUGCAGAGAGUAAGCACCAAGAAUUCCAAGCCCCAUCUCCUGCUUCUUCUCCACUUUAACCCUUUCCUAUUUCCAAUCACAAAAUUGUUUUUAUUUCCUUAGCCUAGAAAAAUAAGACUACACCCCCAAGUUCUAUUUCAAGGCCUAUUGUAAAAAAUAGUCUACAUGCUGUAGAAUUAUGAAGUGUCACUUGUUGCAUGGGGAAGAGCACUGACUGGGCGUCAUUCUAAGCUCCUACUUUGUAACUGACUUGCUAGUUAACCCUGGAUACAUCACCAUGCCUUUCAAAGCCUUA